UGAGCAAUCUGCCCUUCUCAUCGGAAUAAGCGUUGGAAACGACGUCUAAUGCCGAAUACGACCUCCUUUCACAUGAUCGGAGGUGGAAAGCUCCGGCGGAGAAGGAUGAGCUCGCGGCCUAUCAGCUAGUUGGCGGGUAACGCCACAAGGCUACGACGGGUAGCUGGUCUGAGAGGACGAUCAGCCACACUGGAACUGAGACACGGUCCAGACUCCGUAGGNG
rnacentral:rRNA from 1 species